GACAGGUGGUGCAUGGUUGUCGUCAGCUCGUGUCGUGAGAUGUUGGGUUAAGUCCCGCAACGAGCGCAACCCUUGAUCUUAGUUGCCAGCAUUUCGGGUGGGCACUCUAAGAUGACUGCCGGUGACAAACCGGAGGAAGGUGGGGAUGACGUCAAAUCAUCAUGCCCCUUAUGACCUGGGCUACACACGUACUACAAUGGUCGGUACAACGGGAAGCGAAGCCGCGAGGUGGAGCCAAUCCUUAUAAGCCGAUCUCAGUUCGGAUUGCAGGCUGCAACUCGCCUGCAUGAAGUCGGAAUUGCUAGUAAUCGCGGAUCAGCA
rnacentral:rRNA from 1 species